rnacentral:rRNA from 1 species
UACGGAGGGAGCUAGCGUUGUUCGGAAUUACUGGGCGUAAAGCGCACGUAGGCGGCUUUUUAAGUCAGGGGUGAAAUCCCGGGGCUCAACCCCGGAACUGCCCUUGAAUCUGGAGAGCUAGAAUCUUGGAGAGGCGAGUGGAAUUCCGAGUGUAGAGGUGAAAUUCGUAGAUAUUGGGAGGAACACCAGUGGCGAAGGCGGCUCACUGGACCGGUACUGACGCUGAUGCGCGAAAGCGUGGGGAGCAAACAGG